UACAGGGGGUGCAAACGUUGCUCGGAAUCAUUGGGCGUAAAGCGCACGUAGGCGGUUCGUUAUGUCGGAUGUGAAAGCCCUUGGCUUAACCGAGGAAGUGCAUCCGAAACUGGCGAGCUAGAGUACGAAAGAGGAUCGCGGAAUUCCCGGUGUAGAGGUGAAAUUCGUAGAUAUCGGGAGGAACACCGGUGGCGAAGGCGGGUCUCUGGGCCGAUACUGACGCUGAGGAGCGAAGGCGUGGGGAGCGAACAGG
rnacentral:rRNA from 1 species